GAUAAAGUUCACUCCUGUGUAUGAUUUUACAGUACCUGACUCUAAUUUCUACAUCAGUGUAAUUCUUGGAGUAUUUCCUUGCAUGGAAAUUCACAUGGGCUCCAUUUCCUUGCUGCUUGCUCCUAAGGUAUAACAAAAUUCUUUCUCUGAUGGAAGGAGAGAGGCAGAGUUGCCUGCAGGCUCCAGUUAGCUAGCACCACCAGUCUGAGAGCCAGCCCAGCCUCCUGCCAAUGACUCCAGGAUCUGAAAGAGCCAGGCUCAAAGAGAAGGACCCAAAAGGAAAAGAGAAAUCUACUUUUCUGGACAUCUCUGCCAACACCAGCAGAAGCACAUGACUCUGUUCCUUACCAGGAUGUGGAGGAAAAGAUUUUGCCACAGAGCAUUCUCAGGAUUAAGAAUGUUUCAUCCCUUCCCCAAGAAAUUAUGCUGGUUGCUUAAAGAGCCUACAGAGGUGAGCAGCUGUCUCUGAGUAUCCUGUUUCCAGCAUUAAAAGAGGAAAGUCAUGACUAUUGCCCACGCCUGAUGCUUCCAGAUUUUGACUGAAUCCAGGGAAUUUGUUCAGAAGUAUGAUUCAUUUUCAGAGAUGUGACACCUCCUGUAUGGGAGCAGUGAGAAGGAAAUGGAUCCCCCCUCACCUGACUGCUCCAGCCUGAUGC